rnacentral:rRNA from 1 species
GGUUAAGCGACUAAGCGUACACGGUGGAUGCCCUGGCAGUCAGAGGCGAUGAAGGACGUGCUAAUCUGCGAUAAGCGUCGGUAAGGUGAUAUGAACCGUUAUAACCGGCGAUUUCCGAAUGGGGAAACCCAGUGUGAUUCGUCACACUAUCAUUAACUGAAUCCAUAGGUUAAUGAGGCGAACCGGGGGAACUGAAACAUCUAAGUACCCCGAGGAAAAGAAAUCAACCGAGAUUCCCCCAGUAGCGGCGAGCGAACGGGGAGCAGCCCAGAGCCUGAAUCAGUGUGUGUGUUAGUGGAAGCGUCUGGAAAGGCGCGCGAUACAGGGUGACAGCCCCGUACACAAAAAUGCACAUGCUGUGAGCUCGAUGAGUAGGGCGGGACACGUGGUAUCCUGUCUGAAUAUGGGGGGACCAUCCUCCAAGGCUAAAUACUCCUGACUGACCGAUAGUGAACCAGUACCGUGAGGGAAAGGCGAAAAGAACCCCGGCGAGGGGAGUGAAAAAGAACCUGAAACCGUGUACGUACAAGCAGUGGGAGCCUCUUUAUGGGGUGACUGCGUACCUUUUGUAUAAUGGGUCAGCGACUUAUAUUCUGUAGCAAGGUUAACCGAAUAGGGGAGCCGAAGGGAAACCGAGUCUUAACUGGGCGUUAAGUUGCAGGGUAUAGACCCGAAACCCGGUGAUCUAGCCAUGGGCAGGUUGAAGGUUGGGUAACACUAACUGGAGGACCGAACCGACUAAUGUUGAAAAAUUAGCGGAUGACUUGUGGCUGGGGGUGAAAGGCCAAUCAAACCGGGAGAUAGCUGGUUCUCCCCGAAAGCUAUUUAGGUAGCGCCUCGUGAAUUCAUCUGCGGGGGUAGAGCACUGUUUCGGCAAGGGGGUCAUCCCGACUUACCAACCCGAUGCAAACUGCGAAUACCGGAGAAUGUUAUCACGGGAGACACACGGCGGGUGCUAACGUCCGUCGUGAAGAGGGAAACAACCCAGACCGCCAGCUAAGGUCCCAAAGUCAUGGUUAAGUGGGAAACGAUGUGGGAAGGCCCAGACAGCCAGGAUGUUGGCUUAGAAGCAGCCAUCAUUUAAAGAAAGCGUAAUAGCUCACUGGUCGAGUCGGCCUGCGCGGAAGAUGUAACGGGGCUAAACCAUGCACCGAAGCUGCGGCAGCGACACUAUGUGUUGUUGGGUAGGGGAGCGUUCUGUAAGCCUGUGAAGGUGUACUGUGAGGUAUGCUGGAGGUAUCAGAAGUGCGAAUGCUGACAUAAGUAACGAUAAAGCGGGUGAAAAGCCCGCUCGCCGGAAGACCAAGGGUUCCUGUCCAACGUUAAUCGGGGCAGGGUGAGUCGACCCCUAAGGCGAGGCCGAAAGGCGUAGUCGAUGGGAAACAGGUUAAUAUUCCUGUACUUGGUGUUACUGCGAAGGGGGGACGGAGAAGGCUAUGUUGGCCGGGCGACGGUUGUCCCGGUUUAAGCGUGUAGGCUGGUUUUCCAGGCAAAUCCGGAAAAUCAAGGCUGAGGCGUGAUGACGAGGCACUACGGUGCUGAAGCAACAAAUGCCCUGCUUCCAGGAAAAGCCUCUAAGCAUCAGGUAACAUCAAAUCGUACCCCAAACCGACACAGGUGGUCAGGUAGAGAAUACCAAGGCGCUUGAGAGAACUCGGGUGAAGGAACUAGGCAAAAUGGUGCCGUAACUUCGGGAGAAGGCACGCUGAUACGUAGGUGAAGCGACUUGCUCGUGGAGCUGAAAUCAGUCGAAGAUACCAGCUGGCUGCAACUGUUUAUUAAAAACACAGCACUGUGCAAACACGAAAGUGGACGUAUACGGUGUGACGCCUGCCCGGUGCCGGAAGGUUAAUUGAUGGGGUUAGCGGUAACGCGAAGCUCUUGAUCGAAGCCCCGGUAAACGGCGGCCGUAACUAUAACGGUCCUAAGGUAGCGAAAUUCCUUGUCGGGUAAGUUCCGACCUGCACGAAUGGCGUAAUGAUGGCCAGGCUGUCUCCACCCGAGACUCAGUGAAAUUGAACUCGCUGUGAAGAUGCAGUGUACCCGCGGCAAGACGGAAAGACCCCGUGAACCUUUACUAUAGCUUGACACUGAACAUUGAGCCUUGAUGUGUAGGAUAGGUGGGAGGCUUUGAAGUGUGGACGCCAGUCUGCAUGGAGCCGACCUUGAAAUACCACCCUUUAAUGUUUGAUGUUCUAACGUUGGCCCCUAAUCGGGGUUGCGGACAGUGUCUGGUGGGUAGUUUGACUGGGGCGGUCUCCUCCUAAAGAGUAACGGAGGAGCACGAAGGUUGGCUAAUCCUGGUCGGACAUCAGGAGGUUAGUGCAAUGGCAUAAGCCAGCUUGACUGCGAGCGUGACGGCGCGAGCAGGUGCGAAAGCAGGUCAUAGUGAUCCGGUGGUUCUGAAUGGAAGGGCCAUCGCUCAACGGAUAAAAGGUACUCCGGGGAUAACAGGCUGAUACCGCCCAAGAGUUCAUAUCGACGGCGGUGUUUGGCACCUCGAUGUCGGCUCAUCACAUCCUGGGGCUGAAGUAGGUCCCAAGGGUAUGGCUGUUCGCCAUUUAAAGUGGUACGCGAGCUGGGUUUAGAACGUCGUGAGACAGUUCGGUCCCUAUCUGCCGUGGGCGCUGGAGAACUGAGGGGGGCUGCUCCUAGUACGAGAGGACCGGAGUGGACGCAUCACUGGUGUUCGGGUUGUCAUGCCAAUGGCACUGCCCGGUAGCUAAAUGCGGAAGAGAUAAGUGCUGAAAGCAUCUAAGCACGAAACUUGCCCCGAGAUGAGUUCUCCCUGACUCCCUGAGAGUCCUGAAGGAACGUUGAAGACGACGACGUUGAUAGGCCGGGUGUGUAAGCGCAGCGAUGCGUUGAGCUAACCGGUACUAAUGAACCGUGAGGCUUAACCUU